GUAGGGAAUCUUCCGCAAUGGACGAAAGUCUGACGGAGCAACGCCGCGUGAGUGAUGAAGGUCUUCGGAUCGUAAAACUCUGUUAUUAGGGAAGAAUAAGCAUCAACCGAAUAAGUUGGUGCCUUGACGGUACCUAAUCAGAAAGCCCCGGCUAACUACGUGCCAGCAGCCGCGGUAAUACGUAGGGGGCAAGCGUUGUCCGGAAUUAUUGGGCGUAAAGGGCUCGCAGGCGGUUUCUUAAGUCUGAUGUGAAAUCUUGUGGCUUAACCACAAGCGGUCAUUGGAAACUGGGAGACUUGAGUGCAGAAGAGGAGAGUGGAAUUCCACGUGUAGCGGUGAAAUGCGUAGAGAUGUGGAGGAACACCAGUGGCGAAGGCGACUCUCUGGUCUGUAACUGACGCUGAGGAGCGAAAGCGUGGGGAGCGAACAGGAUUAGAAACCCCUGUAGUCC
rnacentral:rRNA from 1 species